rnacentral:sRNA from 1 species
GAGACCUUUUGGGAGCUCACUGGCUUCAGGUUCCAUAGGAACUCCGAAGUUAAGCGAGUUCGCUCAAGAGUAUUCCUAUGAUGGAUGGCCCACUAGGAAGUUCUCGUGUGAGUCCCCAAAAACAAAACUGUGAGGGUGUGGUCGGGGCCCACAUCGGACAAUAUUGUGCUACGGCGGUGUCAAACCCAGGAUGUGAUGGGGGCUCAGGCCAAGAUGUGACAAUUUGGUAUCAGAGCCAAUUCCUGGCCGUAAGUGUGCCAACGAGGACCUCGGGCCCCUAAGGGGGAUGGAUUGUAAGAUCCCACAUUGUCCAGAGAAGUGGAUCAUGUAAGCUUUAUAUGUAUAUUACCAUCUCUAUCUAGCACGAGGCAUUUUGGUAGCUCACUGGCUUCGAGUUUCAUCGGAAUUCCGAAGUUAAGUGAGUUCGCUUGAGAGCAUUUCCAUGAUGGGUAACCCACUGGGAAGUUCUUGUGUCCCAUAAA